rnacentral:rRNA from 1 species
AUUGAACGCUGGCGGCAGGCCUAACACAUGCAAGUCGAGCGAGCGGCGGACGGGUGAGGAAUGUCUGGGAAACUGCCUGAUGGAGGGGGAUAACUACUGGAAACGGUAGCUACUACCGCAUACCAUCAGAUUUGCCCCGAGGGCAUUAGCUAGUCGGUGGGGUAACUGCUCACCUAGUCCACGAUCCCUAGCUGGGCUGAGAGGAUGACCAGCUAGAAUGGGACUGAGACACGGUCCAGACUCCUACGGGAGGCAGGAGUGGGUAAUAUUGUACAAUGGGCGCAAGCCUGAUGGAGCAACGCCGCGUGUGUGAAGAAGGCCUUCGGGUUGUAAAGCAUUUUCAGCGGGGAGGCGUUACCCGCAGAAGAAGCACCGGCUAACUCCGUGCCAGCAGCCGCGGUAAUAC